rnacentral:rRNA from 1 species
UACGUAGGGGGCAAGCGUUGUCCGGAAUCAUUGGGCGUAAAGAGCGUGUAGGCGGCCCGAUAAGUCCGCCGUGAAAGUCGAGGGCUCAACCCUCGAAUGCCGGCGGAUACUGUCGGGCUAGAGUCCGGAAGAGGCGAGUGGAAUUCCUGGUGUAGCGGUGAAAUGCGCAGAUAUCAGGAGGAACACCUACGGCGAAGGCAGCUCGCUGGGACGGUACUGACGCUGAGACGCGAAAGCGUGGGGAGCAAACAGG